UACGUAGGUGACCAGCGUUGUCCGGAUUUACUGGGCGUAAAGAGCGCGCAGGCGGUCGUUCAAGUCGAGUGUGAAAGCCCCCGGCUCAACUGGGGAGGGUCAUUCGAUACUGAUCGACUGGAAGGCAGGAGAGGGAUGCGGAAUUCCAGGUGUAGCGGUGAAAUGCGUAGAUAUCUGGAGGAACACCGGUGGCGAAGGCGGCAUCCUGGACCAACAUUGACGCUGAGGAGCGAAAGCCAGGGGAGCAAACGGG
rnacentral:rRNA from 1 species